UACGUAGGAUGCAAGCGUUGUCCGGAAUUAUUGGGCGUAAAGAGCGCGCAGGCGGUAUGACAAGUCAGAUGUGAAAAGAGCCGGCUUAACCGGCAAGGGUCAUUUGAAACUGUCAGACUAGAGUGCAGCAGAGGAUAGUGGAAUUCCCGGUGUAGUGGUGAAAUGCGUAGAUAUCGGGGAGGAACACCAGUGGCGAAGGC
rnacentral:rRNA from 1 species